GACGAACGCUGGCGGCGCGCCUAACACAUGCAAGUCGAACGAGCGAGAGAGAGCUUGCUUUCUCGAGCGAGUGGCGAACGGGUGAGUAACGCGUGAGGAACCUGCCUCAAAGAGGGGGACAACAGUUGGAAACGACUGCUAAUACCGCAUAAGCCCACGGGUCGGCAUCGACCAGAGGGAAAAGGAGCAAUCCGCUUUGAGAUGGCCUCGCGUCCGAUUAGCUAGUUGGUGAGGUAAUGGCCCACCAAGGCAACGAUCGGUAGCCGGACUGAGAGGUUGAACGGCCACAUUGGGACUGAGACACGGCCCAGACUCCUACGGGAGGCAGCAGUGGGGAAUAUUGCACAAUGGGGGAAACCCUGAUGCAGCGACGCCGCGUGGAGGAAGAAGGUCUUCGGAUUGUAAACUCCUGUUGUUGGGGAAGAUAAUGACGGUACCCAACAAGGAAGUGACGGCUAACUACGUGCCAGCAGCCGCGGUAAAACGUAGGUCACAAGCGUUGUCCGGAAUUACUGGGUGUAAAGGGAGCGCAGGCGGGAAGACAAGUUGGAAGUGAAAUCUAUGGGCUCAACCCAUAAACUGCUUUCAAAACUGUUUUUCUUGAGUAGUGCAGAGGUAGGCGGAAUUCCCGGUGUAGCGGUGGAAUGCGUAGAUAUCGGGAGGAACACCAGUGGCGAAGGCGGCCUACUGGGCACCAACUGACGCUGAGGCUCGAAAGUGUGGGUAGCAAACAGGAUUAGAUACCCUGGUAGUCCACACCGUAAACGAUGAUUACUAGGUGUUGGAGGAUUGACCCCUUCAGUGCCGCAGUUAACACAAUAAGUAAUCCACCUGGGGAGUACGACCGCAAGGUUGAAACUCAAAGGAAUUGACGGGGGCCCGCACAAGCAGUGGAGUAUGUGGUUUAAUUCGACGCAACGCGAAGAACCUUACCAAGUCUUGACAUCCCUUGACAGACAUAGAAAUAUGUAAUCUCUUCGGAGCAAGGAGACAGGUGGUGCAUGGUUGUCGUCAGCUCGUGUCGUGAGAUGUUGGGUUAAGUCCCGCAACGAGCGCAACCCUUAUGGUCAGUUACUACGCAAGAGGACUCUGGCCAGACUGCCGUUGACAAAACGGAGGAAGGUGGGGAUGACGUCAAAUCAUCAUGCCCUUUAUGACUUGGGCUACACACGUACUACAAUGGCGUUAAACAAAGAGAAGCAAGACCGCGAGGUGGAGCAAAACUCAGAAACAACGUCCCAGUUCGGACUGCAGGCUGCAACUCGCCUGCACGAAGUCGGAAUUGCUAGUAAUCGUGGAUCAGCAUGCCACGGUGAAUACGUUCCCGGGCCU
rnacentral:rRNA from 1 species